rnacentral:lncRNA from 1 species
GCCACCAUUCAGAAAAGAAGAAGAGAACAUUAGCGGCUACUGUAAAAACCAAAAUCCCUUAAGCUCUCCUCCGCCACCCUUGUUACAACCUGAAAGGCCGCAACCGGAACCGUCAUAUCACAACUCGACGUUCUUCCGGCAACAACAUCAGCAUUCGACUCAGUUCCGUUACCGAGUUCCGUUACCGGCAACAACAACAACGCAAAGCGGUAGCAACCUUGGUAUUUCGGUAACUCACAUGCUCGAAUUCUCUUUUUUUUCCGUGUGUUGUUUCCAUGUGCAUCAUUUGAUUUUUCUUUUGC